rnacentral:rRNA from 1 species
UAUGGCUCAGGAUGAACGCUAGCGGCAGGCUUAACACAUGCAAGUCGAGGGGCAGCGCGAGUAGCAAUACUUGGCGGCGACCGGCGCAAGGGUGCGUAACGCGUGAGCAACAUGCCCGUAUCAGGGGGAUAAUCCAGGGAAACUUGGUCUAAUACCCCAUAGUAAUUUUUGUAAGGCAUCUUAUAAGAUUUAAAGCUUUGGUGGAUACGGAUUGGCUCGCGUGACAUUAGCUGGAUGGUAAGGUAACGGCUUACCAUGGCUAUGAUGUCUAGGGGUUCUGAGAGGAAGGUCCCCCACACUGGAACUGAGACACGGUCCAGACUCCUACGGGAGGCAGCAGUGAGGAAUAUUGGACAAUGGAUGGAAAUCUGAUCCAGCCAUGCCGCGUGAAAGGAAGAAGGUCCUAUGGAUUGUAAACUUCUUUUGUAUGGGAGCAAUAAGGCCUACGAGUAGGUUGAUGAGAGUACCAUACGAAUAAGCACCGGCUAACUCCGUGCCAGCCGCCGC